UGCCAGCCGCCGCGGUAAUACGGAGGGGGUUAGCGUUGUUCGGAAUUACUGGGCGUAAAGCGUACGUAGGCGGAUUAAUAAGUUAGGUGUGAAAUCCCUGGGCUCAACCCAGGAACUGCAUUUAAAACUAGUGAUCUAGAAAUUGGUAAGGGUUAGUAGAAUUUCCAGUGUAGAGGUGAAAUUCGUAGAUAUUGGAAAGAAUACCAGAAGCGAAGGCGACUAACUAGGCCAUUUUUGACGCUGAGAUACGAAAGCGUGGGUAGCAAACAGGAUUAGAUA
rnacentral:rRNA from 1 species